UAGAAAGAAGCACCUGCCUUGCCUCCUUCCCUCCUUUGCCUGUCCAAAGGUGAAUGAUAUGAGUCGGGCAGUGUGCAUGUCUUCCCAGAAGAAAAAAUGAGGCUCAGAUGUGACUCGGUGUCCCCGGUGAGUGGGUGCAUCAUAAAUGUCAGACAUUGACUGCACCGAAAAGCCUUCUUGGGCUGUCUUCACCGUCUUGUUCUUGGCUUUGGACUCCUGAGCUGCACAAUAAGGAUGUGCAUGGUGCUGCUGACCGUAUGCUCCCCCGACAGUUCCAGGAAGGUGCAGAGUGCUGACAGCCACGCCCUGGAGCUUGCGCUUGCCAGUGCUUACUCUCAGAACUGACUCCUGAGGGAAGGCAAGUGUUUGAAUUGACUUUCUCCAAGGUUCUCACUCUUAGGAAGAUGCAGGUGGAGUUAUCUGUGAUUCUCCCUGUAGGUCAGCCCUUCCUCCUUGCAGUGUCUCUGGGAUGCCUUCCCCUUCCUUGACCUCCAUGGGGCCUUCCUCAGCUGAUCACUCACUGUUCCUGCCUCCCAGCCGAUGGCUCUGAUUCUCAAUGGCUUCUGCAUAGUGAAUGCUGUCAGGCAAUCUUCCUGGAUAUCUCCUUCACGACGUUGCUCCUUCUGCCUGAGAAUCUGUAACGAGCACGGAAGGUCUCUGGAUGUUGUGGGGACAUGCUGGGUUGUUCUGAUGGGCCUUUUGGGGGCUCCUGUCCGGUGCCCCGGGAAUGUCUGUGUGGGAGGACUUGGUGUGGCAAUCUGGUUGGAAGGGAGGGGUUACUGUUGUAGAAAGCACACCAUCUUUACCUCCUGCGUCGUCAUAAAGCCAUGAAAAGAGUAAAAGUUUCUAAAGGUGAUUUUAUUAGAGUGCUUCACAGUCCAGCUACAGAACAUCCACAUCCAACGACUGUCAACAAGGGCUUUGUCAGCUCCCACAGCUAAAACACACCAAGGAAGUUCAGGCAUCUGGGUUGAUUUUCUCCAAAGCUCUUGAUCCUAUGAGGCUGCAGGUCGAGUUAUCUGUGAUGCUCCCUGUGGGUCAGGUUAAUUCUCAGCCUGCUUCCCUCAUGGUGAUAAAGUGGCUGCCAGCACCUCCUGGACCAUGAGCAUCCUUGUUCACAUGCAGGAGGAGGGAGACAUCUGCCCUCACGGCAGGCCGGGGUUUGAGAGUGAACCUUCCCCUAAACAUAGAGCAAAG
rnacentral:lncRNA from 1 species